UACGUAGGGUGCAAGCGUUAAUCGGAAUUACUGGGCGUAAAGCGUGCGUAGGCGGUCCGCGAAGUCUGAUGUGAAAGCCCCGGGCUCAACCUGGGAACUGCAUUGGAAACUAACGGGCUCGAGUGUGGCAGAGGGGGGUGGAAUUCCACGUGUAGCAGUGAAAUGCGUAGAGAUGUGGAGGAACACCGAUGGCGAAGGCAGCCCCCUGGGCUAACACUGACGCUCAGGCACGAAAGCGUGGGGAGCAAACAGG
rnacentral:rRNA from 1 species